rnacentral:rRNA from 1 species
UGGGGAAUAUUGGACAAUGGGCGCAAGCCUGAUCCAGCAAUGCCGCGUGAGUGAUGAAGGCCUUAGGGUUGUAAAGCUCUUUCGCCCGCGACGAUGAUGACGGUAGCAGGAGAAGAAGCCCCGGCUAACUUCGUGCCAGCAGCCGCGGUAAUACGAAGGGGGCGAGCGUUGUUCGGAUUUACUGGGCGUAAAGGGCGCGUAGGCGGCCCUCUUUGUCGCGUGUGAAAGCCCCGGGCUCAACCUGGGAAUGGCGCGCGAAACGGGGGGGCUGGAGUUCGGGAGAGGAGCGUGGAAUUCCCAGUGUAGAGGUGAAAUUCGUAGAUAUUGGGAAGAACACCGGUGGCGAAGGCGGCGCUCUGGACCGAGACUGACGCUGAGGCGCGAAAGCGUGGGGAGCAAACAGGAUUAGAUACCCUGGUAGUCCACGCUGUAAACGAUGUGUGCUAGACGUUGGGGAGCCUAGCUCUCCGGUGUCGCCGCAAACGCUUUAAGCACACCGCCUGGGGAGUACGGCCGCAAGG